rnacentral:rRNA from 1 species
AUAGGGGAGGCGUAGCGAAAGCGAGUCUUAAUAGGGCGUUUAGUCGCUGGGUAUAGACCCGAAACCGGGCGAUCUAUCCAUGGGCAGGUUGAAGGUUAGGUAACACUGACUGGAGGACCGAACCGACUCCCGUUGAAAAGGUAGCGGAUGACUUGUGGAUCGGAGUGAAAGGCUAAUCAAGCUCGGAGAUAGCUGGUUCUCCUCGAAAGCUAUUUAGGUAGCGCCUCACGUAUCACUCCAGGGGGUAGAGCACUGUUUCGGCUAGGGGGUCAUCCCGACUUACCAAACCGAUGCAAACUCCGAAUACCUGGAAGUGCCGAGCGUGGGAGACACACGGCGGGUGCUAACGUCCGUCGUGAAAAGGGAAACAACCCAGACCGUCAGCUAAGGUCCCAAAGUUGUGGUUAAGUGGUAAACGAUGUGGGAAGGCUUAGACAGCUAGGAGGUUGGCUUAGAAGCAGCCACCCUUUAAAGAAAGCGUAAUAGCUCACUAGUCGAGUCGGCCUGCGCGGAAGAUGUAACGGGG